rnacentral:rRNA from 1 species
CCUACGGGAGGCAGCAGUAAGGAAUCUUGCGCAAUGGAGGAAACUCUGACGCAGCCACGCCGCGUGAAGGAAGACACCCCUAUGGGGCGUAAACUUCUUUUAUAUGGGAAGAACCCCCUGCUCUGCAGGGUCUGACGGUACCAUAUGAAUAAGCACCGGCUAACUCCGUGCCAGCAGCCGCGGUAAUACGGAGGGUGCAAGCGUUGUCCGGAAUCACUGGGUGUAAAGGGUGUGUAGGCGGGGCAGUAAGUCAGAGGUGAAAGCCCACGGCUCAACCGUGGAAUUGCCUUUGAUACUGCUGUUCUUGAGUCCUGGAGAGGUCGCCGGAAUUCGUGGUGUAGCGGUGAAAUGCGUAGAUAUCACGAGGAACACCGGAGGUGUAGACGGGUGACUGGACAGGUACUGACGCUGAGGCACGAAAGCGUGGGGAGCAAACAGGAUUAGAUACCCUGGUAGUCCACGCCGUAAACGAUGGAUGCUCGGUGUUGCCCCGUUUCAGGGGCAGUGCCCAAGCUAACGCAUUAAGCAUCCCACCUGGGGAGUACGCUCGCAAGAGUGAAACUCAAAUGAAUUGACGG